rnacentral:lncRNA from 1 species
GAGCCAGCAUGGAUGGACCUUGUUUUUCUCCACAGGCGGUUCUAUAUGAGACCACAGGUGCAUGAAGUCACCUCCAUGUGCCAUCCAAAAAUAACAUUUCUGGACAUGAUGGCUGGAAGCAACCAUUGGGACAUGUCCCCUCGAAGUGUCCCCGCACUCACAGAGCUAUGGGUGAAGGCGUAGCCAUCGGGGUUGGUGACAAUCUCAAAGAAGAUGUCCAUGGUGUCCAGAAGGGAGGUGACAGUGGGGUCAUGGCCAUAAUCUUCAGCAAGCUGUAUUGGGAGGGGAGUGGGAGCUGACUCAGUGUCCCAGGAACAAGGGACUGUAUAACUGGAGAGGCUGUAGGAUUUUUUUUCCCACUGGGUUCAACCACAGCAUCCAUGGAGGUGGCUUGGGUUUGCAACUUUUGCCCUUCACUCAAACCUUUGUGGACAGUCCCCACUCUGCUUACAACCCCAACCCAACUCCAACCUACAACCCCAAGAAUAUUGCCCUGACUUCAAACACCUGCUCAUCCCUUUUUUUUUUUUUCCUUCCCUCUCCCUUCCACCUCCUCCACAUGCAUAUGUUUGGGAUGAGGUUGGUGCCAUUGUUUGGAUUUUUU